rnacentral:rRNA from 1 species
CGCCUGGGGAGUACGGCCGCAAGGUUAAAACUCAAAUGAAUUGACGGGGGCCCGCACAAGCGGUGGAGCAUGUGGUUUAAUUCGACGCAACGCGAAGAACCUUACCUGGCCUUGACAUGCAGAGAACUUUCCAGAGAUGGAUUGGUGCCUUCGGGAACUCUGACACAGGUGCUGCAUGGCCGUCGUCAGCUCGUGUCGUGAGAUGUUGGGUUAAGUCCCGUAACGAGCGCAACCCCUAUCCCUAGUUGCUAGCAGUUCGGCUGAGAACUCUAGGGAGACUGCCGGUGACAAACCGGAGGAAGGUGGGGAUGACGUCAGGUCAUCAUGGCCCUUACGGCCAGGGCUACACACGUGCUACAAUGGCGCGCACAGAGGGCUGCAAACCCGCGAGGGGGAGCUAAUCUCACAAAACGCGUCGUAGUCCGGAUCGCAGUCUGCAACUCGACUGCGUGAAGUCGGAAUCGCUAGUAAUCGUGAAUCAGAAUGUCACGGUGAAUACGUUCCCGGGCCUUGUACACACCGCCCGUCACACCAUGGGAGUGGAUUGCACCAGAAGUGGUUAGUCUAACCUUCGGGAGGACGAUCACCACGGUGUGGUUCAUGACUGGGGUGAAGUCGUAACAAGGUAACCGUA